GACGAACGCUGGCGGCGUGCUUAACACAUGCAAGUCGAACGGAAAGGCCCUGCUUUUGUGGGGUGCUCGAGUGGCGAACGGGUGUGUAACACGUGAGUAACCUGCCCUUGACUUUGGGAUAACUUCAGGAAACUUGGGCUAAUACCUGAUAGGAGCUCCUGCUGCUUGGUUGGGUUUGGAAAGUUUCGGCGGUUGGGGAUGGACUCGCGGCUUAUCAGCUUGUUUGUGGGGUAGUGGCUUACCAAGGCUUUGACGGGUAGCCGGCCUGAGAGGGUGACCGGGAACAUUGGGACUGAGAUACGGAACAGACUACUACGGGAGGCAGCAGUGGGGAAUAUUGCACAAUGGGCGGAAGCCUGAUGCAGAAACGCAGCGGGCGGGAUGACGGCAUUCGGGUUGUAAACCGAUUUAGACUGUGACGAAGCGUGAGUGACGGUAAUGGGUAAAGAAGCACCGGCUAACUACGUG
rnacentral:rRNA from 1 species